rnacentral:rRNA from 1 species
ACGCUCGUAGUCGGGUUUCGGGUCGGGCCGAGCGGUCUGCCGAUGGGUAUGCACUGUUUGGCGCGGCCUUCUUUCCGGAGACCGCGGCUACUCUUAACUGAGCGGGCGUGGGAGACGGAUCGUUUACUUUGAAAAAAUCAGAGUGUUUCAAGCAGGCAGCUCGCUCUUGCAUGGUACAGCAUGGGAUGAUUGAAUAGGACUCCGGUGCUAUUUUGUUGGUUUCGAACACCAGGAGUAAUGAUUAACAGGGACAGUCAGGGGCACUCGUAUUCCGUCGAGAGAGGUGAAAUUCUCAGACCAAUGGAAGACGAACCACUGCGAAAGCAUUUGCCAGGGAUGUUUUCACUGAUCAAGAACGAAAGUUAGGGGAUCGAAGACGAUCAGAUACCGUCGUAGUCUUAACCAUAAACCAUGCCGACUAGGGAUUGGAGGGUGUUCGUUUCGACCUCUUCAGCACCUUACGGGAAACUAAAGUCUUUGGGUUCCGGGGGGAGUAUGGUCGCAAGGCUGAA